rnacentral:rRNA from 1 species
AGAGUUUGAUCCUGGCUCAGAUUGAACGCUGGCGGCAUGCCUUACACAUGCAAGUCGAACGGCAGCGCGGGAGCAAUCCUGGCGGCGAGUGGCGAACGGGUGAGUAAUACAUCGGAACGUGCCCAAUCGUGGGGGAUAACGCAGCGAAAGCUGUGCUAAUACCGCAUACGAUCUACGGAUGAAAGCAGGGGAUCGCAAGACCUUGCGCGAAUGGAGCGGCCGAUGGCAGAUUAGGUAGUUGGUGAGGUAAAGGCUCACCAAGCCUUCGAUCUGUAGCUGGUCUGAGAGGACGACCAGCCACACUGGGACUGAGACACGGCCCAGACUCCUACGGGAGGCAGCAGUGGGGAAUUUUGGACAAUGGGCGAAAGCCUGAUCCAGCCAUGCCGCGUGCAGGAUGAAGGCCUUCGGGUUGUAAACUGCUUUUGUACGGAACGAAACGGCCUUUUCUAAUAAAGAGGGCUAAUGACGGUC